rnacentral:lncRNA from 1 species
CCCAAGGACCUGUUGUGUGCCCAGCUUGGAAGACAGUGGCCACUCACAUCCAGGUCUCUGCCUGGCUAUUUGCUCCAUGAACCCAUCUCAGAUGCCCCUGCCCCCAGGGAGCCAGGUGACAGGGUGAGGUCAAGUGACAAGCAGUAGGUGUGGGAGAGGUUUGGUGGGGUCAGGCCCACAUGGGCCCAGCCAUCCACUCCCCUUCCAUCUGGAGUUGGGGGAGUCUGAGCUGCUCCUGGCCACCCCAUCUGCCCCACCCCAUCUUUUCCUGGCCACCCCAGCUCCCACCCCAUCUUCUCCUGGCCACCCCAUCUCCCACCCCAUCUUCUCUUGACACCCCAUCUCCCACCCCAUCUUCUCCUGGCCACCCCAUCUCCCACCCCAUCUUCUCCUGGCCACCCCAUCUUCUCCUGGCCACCCCAUCUCCCCCACCCCAUCUUCUCCUGGACACCCCCAUCUCCCACCCCAUCUUUUGCUACAGCCAGGGUUAGCUCAGCAGGUGAAAACCCCGAGGGUGGGUGAAACCCCUCUGGGGCUCAGACAUGCAAACCUUGGGCAUCUCUCUGUCCCAGCUGGCCCCGCCAGCCGGUAGGAAGUUUCCCCUGAGUUCUCAGUUUUUUCUUCUGAAAAAUGAGGGGUUGUAUGCAAGGUUCUCCUCCUGGCCUGUGGUCCCCAGAGAAGGGCAGGAAGGAACCUUAGAUAAUUCUCAUAUGCAUUUAACAGACGAGGAAACUGAGACCCAGAGCCGUCACAUCAAUACCUCAUUUGAUCUUCAUAAGAGCACCUGGAGGAGGGGGGUGGGGUGUUUGUGUUUGUUUAAAUUUUUUUUUGUGAAAAAAAUGAAGAUAGGCAUUUUGUAGACAAUCUGGAAGUUCUGGACCGGAAUCCAUGAUGUAGUCAGGGAAGAAAUGACCCGUGUCCAGUAACCCCAGGCCUCGAGUGUGUGGUGUAUUUUUCUACAUAAUUGUAAUCAUUCUAUACAUACAAAUUCAUGUCUUGACCAUCAUAUUAAUAUUUGGUAAGUUUCUCUCUCUUUAGAGACUCCACAAUAAAGUUUUCAACAUGGUAAGGUUUUCCA